UUUAUGCCCUACUAGUGUUGCCUAGGGGUGCUUUUAUGUGUGCACCCUGGAAGAUAGGUCCAGAAGCCUUGCGAUUUCUUAGAUUAAAGCUAAGUGUACUCGUGACCCUACCAGCACUUUUCAAGAUACUUUCGACGUAUUCAUUGCGGUGAACAACGCGGUUGGGACAGCACACUCACGACGUGGGAAGGUCACAGAAAUGUUGGAAGACAUCAGAUUGGGCAUACGCUUCACCCGUGCAACUUCGUCAUGUGCUCCACGGCUUUACGGCUGUGCCACUGUAUGUAAAAAAUGCUGAGUGAUUUUAAUAAAGAAUUUGCAGGGAAGUACAAUGUGUCGCACCUUGUUGACUCUUUUACAGAUGUGUGGAAACGUCGUAGCGGAUGAAUGUGAAUUAUGGAUCUCCAAGUGGCGUCGCCCGCGUCAUUUUCAAGAUUUUACCCGUUUUGAAGGUACGUAGUGAAUGUGCGAGGCAUUCACGUUCCUACUACGUGGUUAUCCAUGCGUUUCCCGUCUUCGCAGGCAAUAGGGCUGUUGAUAGGGAGAAUGCUAGGCUACUGCAGACCGCAACCAUAGGCGCUGUGUCUAAAGGUUAAGCUCACAUGACGCGGCAGGGAAGGGAGUCCGUGGCGAAAAGUGAAUAUAGCCGAAGUUGGAUAGCGUUAAUUUUUGCGCACGAAAGGCAAGCUGGACACAUCGCAAAUCUCCAGUUGUACGAAACACAGUGCAGCAUGGUCGUCGGUUAUGCCAGUGCUUCAACAUAUGUUUCAGCGUCGCACUUUGGACAUUGCGGGCAUAUACCUUUAAGUUUUUCCCCUUGUGGACCGAUGCUGUGUGUGUUCAUGGACAUCAUGUUUUCAAAGACAUGUAAGUUCUCAAUAAUAAUGCGAAAAAAAUGCUGGUCAUGUUACGC